AUGCUCCAUCCCCGCCUGGUCUGGGAUGCAGGUGAAGACCCCCGAGGCGAGGACGGGACUCGAAGGGCAGAUCCCAGUUCAGCCCCGGCCGCGGAGGCUGAGCCCCUGCACGUCGGCUGGAACCCCCCCCAGAGACGUGAACACCCCGACGCCGUCGCUGCCAGCAUCCCGCCGCCUGCCCGGCAUCUUCACCGGGAUGGACCUGUGGCACGGGGAUGGCGACAGCGACGGCACCCACCGGGAAUCCCUGUUGGCAUCAAACCUGGGAAAGCUGCUCGUCAGCCACACUCACUCGAACUGAGGUGGGGAGCAGCAAGUCUGGAGGACCACCAGGCGACCACCCCCGACGGGGCGGCCGCGGCGCCGGCGCUCGGCGCCCUCCUCUUCCUGCUGCUGCUGCUGCUGCUGGCCGGGGCCCGCCGGCGAGCCGGCAGCCGGGGGGGCUCUUCGGGCAAGAGGAGCCCCCCGGGCCCCUUCGCGUGGCCGCUGGUGGGCAACGCGCUGCAGCUGGGCCGCCUGCCCCACUUGGCUUUCGGGCGGCUGGAGCGUCGGUACGGCGCCGUCUUCCAGCUGCGGCUGGGCCGCCGGCGGGCGGUGGUGCUCAACGGCGAGGCGGUCAUCCGGCGGGCGUUGGUGGGCUCGGGCGCCCGUUUCGCCGGUCGGCCGGAUUUCCCGUCCUUCGAGCUGGUGUCCGGCGGGCGUAGCGUGGCUUUCGGGUCCUGCUCGCCCCGUUGGAGGGCUCGCCGGCGCCUGGCCCACGCCGCCCUGCGCGCCCGCUCGACGGCGGCCGAGGUGGAGCGGCACGUGGCGGCCGAGGCGGGGGACCUCGUCCGGCUCUUCCUGCAGCGCAGCCAGGGCGGCGCCUACUUCGAACCCGCCCCGCUCUUGGUGGUGGCCAACGCCAACGUCCUCUGCGCCCUCUGCUUCGGCCGCCGCUACGGCCAUGCCGACGGCGAGUUCGCGGCGCUGCUGGGCCGUAACGACCGCUUCGGGCAGACGGUGGGGGCGGGCAGCGUGGUGGACGUGCUGCCCUGGCUCCUGCGCUUCCCCAACCCCGUGCGCCGCGUCUUCCGCGACUUCCAAGCCCUCAACCGGGAGCUGCACGGCUUCGUGCGCGCCAAGGUGGCGCAGCACCGCCAGACCUUUGACCCGCGCGCCCUCCGCGACGUCAGUGACGUCAUGAUCGCCGCCGUCGAGCGCAGCGAGAGGCCCCCCGAGGGGCUGGGACCCGAGGACGUGGAGGGCGCCAUGACCGACAUCUUUGGCGCAGGACAGGACACCACGUCCACAGCGCUCUCGUGGGUCCUCCUGCUGCUGCUGAAGCACCCGCGGCUCCAGCGGGACCUCCAGGCUGAGCUGGACCGGGUGGUGGGACGCUCCCGGUUGCCCACGGCCGAGGAUCGGCCCCACCUGCCCCUCCUGGAGGCCUUCAUCUACGAGACGCUGCGCUACACCAGCUUCGUGCCCAUCACCAUCCCGCACGCUACCACAGACGACGUGGAGCUUGAGGGCUUCCACAUCCCCAAGGGCACCGUGGUCUUCAUCAACCAGUGGUCCGUCAACCACGACUGCGGCAAGUGGCCCGACCCGCAACGCUUCGACCCCGCGCGUUUCUUGGAUGUGCAGCAGCGCCUGGACCGCGACCGAGCCGGCAGCGUCAUGAUCUUCUCAGCCGGCCAGCGGCGCUGCAUCGGCGACCAGCUCUCCAAGCUUCAGCUCUUCCUCUUCACUGCCAUCCUCCUCCACCAGUGCUCCUUCCACGCCAACCCGGCGGAGAACCUCACCAUGGACUGCAUCCACGGGCUGGCGCUGAAGCCGCGGCCCUUCACCGUCACCGCGCGGCAGAGGCAGCCCGUGCUCAUCCAGUCCUGA